GGGCACAUGGUGUAGUUGGUUAUCACGCUCGCUUAGCAUUGUACAUGCUGUUAUGGGUCUGCGAGAGGUGUUGGGUUCAAUUCCCAAUGUGUCCA